CCAGACUCCUACGGGAGGCAGCAGUGAGGAAUAUUGGUCAAUGGGCGGGAGCCUGAACCAGCCAAGUCGCGUGAGGGACGACGGUCCUAUGGAUUGUAAACCUCUUUUGUCGGGGAACAAAGGCGCCCACGGGUGGGCGGAUGAGUGUACCCGAAGAAAAAGCAUCGGCUAACUCCGUGCCAGCAGCCGCGGUAAUACGGAGGAUGCGAGCGUUAUCCGGAUUUAUUGGGUUUAAAGGGUGCGUAGGCGGACUGUUAAGUCAGCGGUAAAAGCCCGGGGCUCACCCCCGGCGAGCCGUUGAAACUGGCUGUCUUGAGAUGUCGAGAGGUAUGCGGAAUGCGCAGUGUAGCGGUGAAAUGCUUAGAUAUCGCGCAGAACUCCGAUUGCGAAGGCAGCGUACCGGCGCCAGACUGACGCUGAGGCACGAAAGCGUGGGGAUCGAACAGGAUUAGAUACCCCGGUAC
rnacentral:rRNA from 1 species